rnacentral:rRNA from 1 species
AGAGUUUGGUCCUGGCUCAGAUUGAACGCUGGCGGUAUGCUUAACACAUGCAAGUCGAACGGCAGCAUAAUCUAGCUUGCUAGAUUGAUGGCGAGUGGCGAACGGGUGAGUAACGCGUAGGAAUAUGCCUUAAAGUGGGGGACAACUUGGGGAAACUCAAGCUAAUACCGCAUAAUCUCUAUGGAGAAAAGCUAGGGACCUUCGGGCCUGGCGCUUUAAGAUUAGCCUGCGUACGAUUAGCUAGUUGGUAGGGUAAAGGCCUACCAAGGCGACGAUCGUUAGCUGGUCUGAGAGGAUGACCAGCCACACUGGAACUGAGACACGGUCCAGACUCCUACGGGAGGCAGCAGUGGGGAAUAUUGGACAAUGGGGGCAACCCUGAUCCAGCAAUACCGCGUGUGUGAAGAAGGCCUGAGGGUUGUAAAGCACUUUCAGUGGGGAGGAGGUUUGCUAGGUUAAGAGCUAAGUAAAUGGACGUUACCCACAGAAGAAGCACCGGCUAACUCCGUGCCAGCAGCCGCGGUA